GCAGGUUUAGUUCAAGUGGUAGAGUGUGUGCUUAGUGUGCACGAGGUCCUGGGUUCAAUUCCCCAGAACCUUUG
rnacentral:tRNA from 1 species